CUCUCGCAUCGAUGAGAAACGCAGCGAAAUGCGAUAAGUAAUGUGAAUGCAGAAAUUCAGUGAAUCAUCGAAUCUUUGAACGCACCUUGCGCCCUUUGGUAUUCCGAAGGGCACACCUGUUUGAGUGUCGUGAAAUUCUCAACCCUCCUCACUUUUGUGACGGUAGUGGCUUGGACUUGGAGGCUUUGCCGGCUUUGUUCGGCUCCUCUUAAAUGUAUUAGUGCAUCUCGUUGCGAUGUACCCUCGGUGUGAUAAUUAUCUACGCUGUGUGUGUACUCGCUUCUUUUUGAGACGUGCUUCAAACCGUCCGAAAGGACAAUUCAUCGAAACUUGACCUCAAAUCAGGUGGGACUACCCGCUGAACUUAAGCAUAUCAAUAAGCGGAGGAAAAGAAACUAACAAGGAUUCCCCUAGUAACUGCGAGUGAAGCGGGAAAAGCUCAAAUUUAAAAUCUGGCGGUCUCUGGCCGUCCGAGUUGUAGUCUGGAGAAGCGUCUUCCGUGC
rnacentral:rRNA from 1 species